UUCAAUUAAAAACAAUUAAACUAUAUAAGUGAUUUUAAAAUUAAUAUUUUAAACCUUUGUUUUCCAAAGGGUAUUCUAGUGAAAAUUACUUGCAUGUUUAAACGUCCAGUAAACUGAGCUUUAUUAUAUAGAAAACCCAUGGUAAUAUAAGUCCAAUAUUUCUUAGGAUAUCAAACACAACGAAGUGGAUGUUCAACAAUCCAUCUAUGGUAAUCUAUCUUGAGGUAAUGCAUUGCAGAUUACUACAAGAAAAUUUACCCGCAAUGCACCAAAUGCAAUCAGAGAUUUAUUGCCAUAAGAUAACACAAAAUCCAUACAUUAUGGAUAUGUUUACUGGUCUUGUAGGUCAUACACAUGUAAACACACUUAAAGAGUUAAUCAAGUCAAUUUGGUUCAGACACGACCUAUUUAGUUGAAUCAUCUACUGGCAUCGCUUCGGGUGGAAAGUGACUUCAUGUAUAUCCCAGGUUACGAACUUGAAAAUUAUCCAUGAAAAGUAAUCGGAAUACAAAAAUCAGUAGCAGGAUUCUCUUUCUAGAUGAAUGGUUUCUCCAGUGCUUCAAAAGAUACAUGAAAAUAGGGACUAUUCGUAAAACAGAUCAAUCUUUUUCUGGCACUAGAGUGAAAAUGAUAUCCAAAUCAUAGGUAAUUAUAGGCACGGAUAAUAUUCUUGCGGUAAAAGAGUCGGACAUUGUUUCCAAAAUUGUUUGCUGCAACUGACAAGUUUAAGCGUGGUCCUUAGAUCUUCCGAAGGUAUGGACACCAAAAACAGCUCAUGAGUCAUGACAAUGCAAGUAAUGAACUCAACAUUUGCUGCAGAAACACUUCCAAAAUUGAAUUUGCAAUGAGCAAUGACAAUCUCUAAAUGCAUAUUAGAAAUUUGAAGUUAUUAUGCCGAAAUUCGAGUUUCGAGUCCCUUAUGGUUUUAGUCGUCUUUUAACUUGUCCCCAAUGUGAUGUCCUGGAGUACAUUUUUCUUUUGAAGUCGGAAAGAAGUUCUCAUUUCUGACCGUAGACUAUUGUAAACCUUGCUUAAUCCUAACCUCUAAAGCUUCCGCUUGUAAUUGUCGAGAAUCGAUAUAAUAAUAUAAAGUUCGAGAAAUUUGAAAAAGAAAAAAGAAAGGCCAUAAGGAAGCUGCAGUGCUACUGCUAUCCUUCUCUCCCACCGAUGAUGCCCAGCUCUUUGAUAUCGCAAGGUACUAGCAAAUGCUGGUGGAGAUCUAGUAAUUGAUUGAAGAGCUCAACCAACAAUUCUUCGGUAACAUUUUUCGAUCGGUUUCAACCACAUUUUAAGUAAUGGUUCUUUGUUUCUUGAAGAAUUUGAUGAGUGCUUGGAAGUUGGCUUGUGCAUCAAACUAGACCUAGCAAGAUUGUGAUUCCAAAUGGCAUAUUUUCACUUAGAGAAGUGAAAAUUCAAAGCCCCUUCAAGGCCCCCGUGGAGAUUCAGCCCGGGUACAUUGAAGACCCCGGCAGACCCCGCGUCGUUCAAAACCGACAGUUGGGUCACCUUCAAUUCACCUUGUCUGGGGUUGGGGUCUUUGAUGAUCAGGGGAAGAUUGCCUAGGAGCAAAACAACUGCAAUAAGAACAAGAAAUGUAAGAAGAUUCCUAUGGUGAGUUUUACUAAGAAGUGUAACAUAAUGAUCUCAUGCUAUUAGAACUAAUGACUUGCAAUUGGUCGGGUGGACAGUAACUUGAGAGUUCAACUUCAUCACCAACGGACCAGUCCGGGACAUCACCACGCUUGACAACAAGAACUUCCAUGUGAAUGUAUUUGGCUGCAAGAACUUCACUUUCCCUAUAAGUUCACGGUGACUGCACCGGAGGAUGCCACCCCAACACCGAGGGGGACGUUCCACAUCAGACGGUGGGAUGGGAUCAUCUUAACGGACUCGACCAUUGGGACAGGGGACGAUUGCCUCUCCCUCUGGGACGUUAGCAGGCAGGUUCAUGUAACCACAGUGAAGUGCGGGCUGGGCCACGGGAUCAGCAUGGGGAAGUUCUCCGUUUCGGGAUUCUUCGUCAAGAACUGCACACUCUACCAAUACCCAGAAUGGAGUCAGGAUUAAGACUUGCCCUGCUUCCUAUCUGGGAACCAUCUCCUACAUGCACUUCGACCAUAUCGAUAUGGUUAACGUCGAUUCCCUCGCUGGUGAAGAUCAGAAAAGUACGGUUCAAGAACAUCCGUGGGAGCUCUUUCACAGUGGUGGCAGCAAAGCUCGCGCGCAGCGGCAAGGUGCUGUGCAAGGACAUGGUGGUCGGUGACAUCAACCUCACAUACAAAGGUCCUGAGGCCCCAGCAACCUCGUCUUGGUGUUCUAAUGUGGUCCCAGCCCCAGCCUUUUCGAGCACACAGCCCCCAAGUCUGUGCCAAAGUCUCUUAAUUAAGCUAUGUACAUAUUCGAUAGACAAUUGAACCGGGAGAAGUAAAGAUAAAGGAAGAAAACACAUGUAGUUGCAAAUCACAGCAGCUAUAAUUCUGAUGGACUUCAUAAUAUUCUCGACUUACCGAAUGAAAUAUAAUUUAUAUAUGAAGGUUUUUCUUCUCU